rnacentral:rRNA from 1 species
GCACCCUGAUCCAGCAAUGCCGCGUGUGUGAAGAAGGCCUUCGGGUUGUAAAGCACUUUUGUCCGGAAAGAAAACCAUCGCCCUAAUAUGGUGGUGGGAUGACGGUACCGGAAGAAUAAGCACCGGCUAACUACGUGCCAGCAGCCGCGGUAAUACGUAGGGUGCGAGCGUUAAUCGGAAUUACUGGGCGUAAAGCGUGCGCAGGCGGUCUGUUAAGACCGAUGUGAAAUCCCCGGGCUUAACCUGGGAACUGCAUUGGUGACUGGCAGGCUUUGAGUGUGGCAGAGGGGGGUAGAAUUCCACGUGUAGCAGUGAAAUGCGUAGAGAUGUGGAGGAAUACCGAUGGCGAAGGCAGCCCCCUGGGCCAACACUGACGCUCAUGCACGAAAGCGUGGGGAGCAAACAGGAUUAGAUACCCUGGUAGUCCACGCCCUAAACGAUGUCAACUAGUUGUUGGGGAUUCAUUUCCUUAGUAACGUAGCUAACGCGUGAAGUUGACCGCCUGGGGAGUACGGUCGCAAGAUUAAAACUCAAAGGAAUUGACGGGGACCCGCACAAGCGGUGGAUGAUGUGGAUUAAUUCGAUGCAACGCGAAAAACCUUACCUACCCUUGACAUGGUCGGAAUCCCGCUGAGA